GCACAAGCAGCGGAGCGUGUGGUUAAUUCGAUGCUACACGAAGAACCUUACCUGGAUUUGACAUGCACGUAGUAGUGAACCGAAGGGAACGAGCCUUCGGGCAGCGUGCACAGGUGCUGCAUGGCUGUCGUCAGCUCGUGCCGUGAGGUGUUGGGUUAAGUCCCGCAACGAGCGCAACCCUCGUCGCUAGUUACAUGUGUCUAGCGAGACUGCCAGGUUAACCCUGGAGGAAGGUGGGGAUGACGUCAAGUCAGCAUGGCCUUUAUGUCCAGGGCUACACACACGCUACAAUGGUCGGUACAAUGGGAUGCCAAGCCGCGAGGCGGAGCAAAUCCUCAAAGCCGGCCUCAGUUCGGAUUGCAGGCUGCAAUUCGCCUGCAUGAAGUCGGAAUCGCUAGUAAUCGCAGGUCAGCAUACUGCGGUGAAUACGUUCCCGGGCCUU
rnacentral:rRNA from 1 species